rnacentral:rRNA from 1 species
UACGGAAGGGGCAAGCGUUGUUCGGAAUCAUUGGGCGUAAAGGGCGCGUAGGUGGUUCUGUAUGUCUAUCGUGAAAGCAUACAGCUCAACUGUAUUUUGUCGGUAGAAACUGCAGGACUUGAGGCUGGGAGGGGCUGGUGAAAUUCCCUGUGUAGCGGUGAAAUGCGUAGAGAUGGGGGAGAACACUCGUGGCGAAGGCGGCCAGCUAGACCAGUUCUGACACUGAGGCGCGACAGCGUGGGGAGCAAACAGG